rnacentral:rRNA from 1 species
GAUGAACGCUGGCGGCGUGCCUAAUACAUGCAAGUCGAGCGGACAGACGAGGAGCUUGCUCCUCUGACGUUAGCGGCGGGCGGGUGAGUAACACGUGGAUAACCUCCCUAUAAUACUGGGAUAACUUCGGGAAACCGGCGCUAAUACCGGAUAAUAUAUUGCUCCACAUGGUUCAAUAGUGAAAGACGGUUUUGCUGGAACUUAUAGCUGGAUCCCGGCCGCAUUAGCUAGUUGGUAAGGUAACGGCUUAUCAAGGCAACGAUGCGUGGCCGAACUGAGGGGCUGAUCGGCCACACUGGAACUGAGACACGGUCCAGACGCCUACGGGAGGCAGCAGUAGGGAAUCUGCCGCAACGGGCGAAAGUCUGACGGAGUAACGCGGAGUGAGUGAUGAAGGUCUCCGGAUCGUGAAACUCGGUUAUGAGGGAAGAACAAAUGUGUAAGUAGCUAUGCCCGUCUUGACGGUACCUAGUCAGAAAGCCACGGCUAACUACGUG